UACGAAGGGUGCAAGCGUUAAUCGGAAUUACUGGGCGUAAAGGGUGCGUAGGCGGUUAUUUAAGUCUGCCGUGAAAUCCCCGGGCUCAACCUGGGAAUGGCGGUGGAUACUGGAUAGCUAGAGUGUGUCAGAGGAUGGUGGAAUUCCCGGUGUAGCGGUGAAAUGCGUAGAGAUCGGGAGGAACAUCAGUGGCGAAGGCGGCCAUCUGGGACAACACUGACGCUGAAGCACGAAAGCGUGGGGAGCAAACAGGG
rnacentral:rRNA from 1 species